GACGAACCGUGCAAACGUUAUUCGGAAUCACUGGGCUUAAAGGGCGCGUAGGCGGGCCCGUUAGUCCGGGGUGAAAGCCUCCAGCUCAACUGGAGAAGUGCCCCGGAUACUGCGGGCCUCGAGGGAGGUAGGGGCGUGCGGAACUUCCGGUGGAGCGGUGAAAUGCGUAGAUAUCGGAAGGAACACCGGUGGCGAAAGCGGCGCGCUGGAUCUCUACUGACGCUGAGGCGCGAAAGCCAGGGGAGCAAACGGG
rnacentral:rRNA from 1 species